AUGCCGCGCCUCUUCUCCUGGGCCGGCCAUCGCCUACCGAGCCUCCCCUGCGUCCCCUGCACCGGCGAUGCGGCCGGCCCGUCCAGCCCCUCCAGCCAAGCCGCGGAGACCUCCAUGAGCCUGCGCCGCCGCGGCGACGGCAGCGGCAGCGUGGCCGGCCGCGCCGCGCGCAAGUUCACGCUGGAGCAGCUCUCCGCGGCCACGGACGGCUUCUCCGCGUCCAACCUGCUGGGCCAGGGCGGCUUCGGCAGGGUGUACAGGUGCCACCUCCGCCUGGACGGCGACGACGACGAUGCCGGCGGCGCAAUGACGGCGGUGGCCGUGAAGCAGCUGUGCCGCGGCGGCGCGCAGGGGAGCCACGAGUUCGUGGUGGAGUGCGCGAUGCUGAUGACGCUGCGGCACCCCAACCUGGUGUCCCUGGUCGGCUACUGCGCGCAGGCCCAGGAGCGGCUGCUCGUCUACGAGCUCCUCCCCCGCGGCAGCCUCGACGCCCACCUCUUCCUCCCGCUCUCAGGCGAUGGUGACCGGCCGGCGCUGGAGUGGGACACGCGGGUGAAGAUCGCGCACGGCGCGGCGAGGGCGCUGCGGUACCUGCACGAGGCGGUGUCGCCGCCGGUGAUCUACCGCGACCUGAAGCCGUCCAACAUCCUCCUGGCGGACGACUUCAGCGCCAAGCUGUCCGACCUGGGGCUGGCCCGGAUGGGGCCCUCCGGCGACGACACCCACGUGUCCACGCGCGUGAUGGGCACCUUGGGCUACUGCGCGCCCGACUACGCGCUCACCGGCCGCCUCACCGUCAAGUCCGACGUCUACAGCUUCGGCGUGGUGCUCCUGGAGCUCAUCACGGGCCGCAGGGCCUUCGACGCCGACGCCGACGCCGGCGACGAGAGGCGGCUCCUUGACUGGGCCAGGCCCUACCUCGCCGACGUGCGCAAGAUGUACGGCCGGCUGGCCGACCCGGCGCUGCGCGGGCGAUUCCCUCGGCGCGCGCUCUACCAGCUGGCCGUCGUCGCCUCGCUCUGCCUCCACGACAGGCCCAACCUCCGGCCCACCAUGUCAGACGUCACCCGGGCCAUCGACCACGUCGCCUCGCAGCCUUGGCAAGCCGCCCCCGCCGGCGCCGGCGCCGAUGCAGCCCAUCAUCGUGCCAAAUCGUGCCAAAUAUGA
rnacentral:rRNA from 1 species